CUGUGAACAAUAAGUGAGCAGCGUCCCUUAUUAACUGAGUCAUAAUUGCCACGACAUACGAUUAACCACACUAGCUUGUGGAAUGUACAGUGAUGUAUGUACAGACUGAUUUUCGUCUAUGCUAUGCUUCGACUUUUAGUAACAAGUUAACAAGCACCCUUAUAAAUUCAACCAUCCAUCGCUCCGCAUCGAGCAGCCUCCGAAUGAAGUCUGACAACAGUAUUCUAUGAUUUCCAACAACACAUAUCAAACUAUAACUAAUGCUGAUCCAGGAUAAAGUAACGCUGACCUCUUCGGGCCCGUCAUUCUGGCAACAAAGUCCACUGCAAUGAAGCGAAACUAAAAUUCGACCUAGUGCAUCCAGCGCAGAGGGACUCGAAAACUUGUAAGAGCACUACAUGAAUGCGAAUGAUGAGGCGCCGUCGAAUUUGGAGCCGACCAGCUCGGAAAAAGCGGACAAGAAUGAAGGGGAAACCGUCCAGGCUGAAGCCACCGGGCCUCAGGAGAAAUCAGCCGAUGAAACUGUCACGAAGGAUACAAAAGUAGUCGAAGAGAGACCCGAAUCGCCUUUGGUAUUGCCUCCGACGCUUCACGAACGAUUCAUGCGGAUCAAACAAAUGGUCAAGGAUGCCAUAGCUGCUCACCACACGUUCAUGAUUUACGGAAGGGCCCGAGUGAUCCGUGAAUGUAUGCUGCGGCGAGGCUGGUGCGAGAAGUUUUUCCGAAAAAAUGCUACUGCCGAUCAUUUCAACGUGGAUUCGAGUCCCGUGGCGUUGCUGGCAGGCAUCGGCGACUUGAAGGACCAACAAAGCGAACGACAGUUGAUAUCCAGGAUGCUCAGUAAUCACACUGUCGAUUUCCUCUGGAACACCGGAUCGGAAUGGCCUGGCUGGCCGUCGCAGGAUAACAAGAACACGAUUUUCAACAGAUACUGCCGUGCGGGAUUCACGUCGAAGGUGGGCUUAUGCUCGAACGUCAGACAAAUGCACUGGUAUUACGAGGCUGGAGUGGCGAACACCCUCUUCCCGCGCUGUUACAAUUUAUGCCAGGGCGAUCAGAUGCAUGCUUUCAUCGAGGAUUUUCGAUUCACGUCUUGCCUGAGUCUGUUGAAGUGGCUGAUAAGUAAGAUAUCCGCCGAGGGCGAGAACGCGGUCAGAUCGCCAACGGGAACGGUGCCUAUGAAGGCCCUCGAGUUCGCGAUCAAACGAUGCAGCGAUUAUAUCAGCGCGCAAUCCCACGAGGACAUCGAUCAGGAGACGGAAAGAGUUUGGGCGCAUCAAUGGGACCAGUUUAUCAGCUGGUAUUACCAGAUCGUUCACGGACAAGCGCUUUUCGUUCGCAACAGUGUGCCCUUUCAAAAAUUCUUCCUGGCGGGGAAGCACAUUCUGAAAAAGAUGAGGAAGUACUGUCCACAACUCGACAUGGAUGGCAUCAUGAAUGUAUGGAUCAUGAAGCCUGGGAACAAAAGUCGAGGACGAGGGAUCGUCCUCUUGAACAAACUGGAGGAUGUCAUGGCGAAGAUGAAUCCGUCGAACAAGUCAGACACCCGUUACGUCGUGCAGAAGUACAUUGAACGACCAUUGCUAAUUCACAGUACGAAGUUCGACAUAAGGCAGUGGUUCGUUGUCACCUGUGCCCAGCCUCUGACUCUUUGGAUAUACAAAGAGAGUUAUCUGCGAUUCUGCUCGCAAAAAUUUUGCCUGACGGACUUCCACGAAUCGAUCCACCUGUGCAAUCACGCGAUCCAAUGCAAGUACACGAACUGCGGCGACAGGGAUCCUGCGUUGCCCUCGGACAACAUGUGGGACGCCACGACCUUCAAAGAGUUCCUCAAGUCCCAGGGACACGAUAAGGCGUGGGACGAGCUCAUCUACCCAGGAAUGAAGCAAGGCUUGGUUGGUUCUCUAUUGGCCAGCCAGGAAGCCAUGGAUCGUCGAAAGAACAGUUUCGAACUUUACGGCGCCGACUUCAUGGUUAUGGACGAUUUCUCCGUUUGGCUGAUCGAGAUCAAUAGCCACCCUGACAUGAGCUACUCCAGCAGAGUUACGACGCGUCUGUGUCGACAGGUUCUAGAGGACACCAUAAAAGUGGUGAUAGAUUUUCGAGAGAACAAAAACGCAAACACGGGACAGUUCGAGUUGGCUUACAAGCAGAAAAUGCCCAACUGCCAGCCAUAUUUGGGUGCAGCUUUGUCCCUCCAAGGCACCCGCAUUACGACGUUAGAGAAGAAACCUGGUCUCGGGACUCAAGACUCGAAAGUUAGCCUCGUAUCGAAGUCCCCUAUGACAUGCUUUCCGAAAAAGAAAGCGGCGGUGCACAAUCAAAUCGGUCCAGUGAUCGUCGAUCUGAUCGAGGAACUGGAGAUCCAGCUCGACCAGGAAUUCUACGCCUACUAUAAAGUAGAAUCGCCUAAGCUGAGGCAAACACUGCCAAUAACUGCGCCCCCCAAACCCUUAAAAGCGGUCGUUUUAGUCGAUAAACAGGAAUCGACCGCGAAGAGCGCUCCCGCUGGAGGAUUGAACACUGUUAAAACGAAGUCACCUGGUUUGAUUCAAAAUAAUCGAAUAAACGACAAGAACGGAAGUAAUCAGAAAACGGCAACGCGAACGCCAAGAAAGUCGCGGACUCUCACUGGAUCGACAAGCCACAAAUCGGAAACUUCUCCUGCGAGGCAAAAUUUUAUCUCGAAGAUUAUAACUAUUCAGAAGCAAACGUUUAAACAGCCAUCAAAAAGUGAAAAGUCUCAACCGAAGCAAAACCAAAAUAGGAUGAUUAAGACUGCGGUACGAGACGCUAUUAAAAAGUACAAAAAAGGCGCAGCUCUGUCCGCCAUUCCACCGGAAAUACCUCCGCUACCGUCUUUAUCAACGGCACCGAAUAAAGGUAGCGAAGGUGCCGCAGGGAAAAAUAAAAUUCACAUCGUUCCGGCCAAGAAUCCUCGUCAAAAAAAGAACAAAGUGUUAACCGACAUUACUGACAUGUACGCUGUUGGCUUGAGGUUGACUAAAUGAGAAAGGAAAAGAAAAUCCUCGUGAUCCGCACUCGUUAUUCGUUGGCUCUGUCUACUGUUGAUUCAUCGAAGUCUAUAUUUGAAACGUACCUGUACAUGGCCAAUAAAGAACUACGCUAUCCAUCGGUAACUUGGUGAAGUAUUUCAUUUCCUCGAUAGUUUAUGAACAAUUUAAAAGGGUAAUUAUUACUAACUACUGGCAGACUUCUAUCUUAACACUUCACCAAUCGGCAACCCUAUUAUCGAGGUAACGUUUAACCUUUUGCGCUCGAGGCAUUUUUCUAUAGAAUCAAAUCGAGUCCAUUUUUAUAAUAAAUUUCUGUAAAACCAAAAACUCUGCUUCGAAAAGAUACAUCUAAAAACAUUCACGACUCAAUCUAUAUUAUUUCAAUUAAUAAUUAGCUGUAUUUUGGUAUAACUAAAAUUGAAAUUGUAUGGUCAAAAAUCACUUUUAUAUUACAUAUGUCGCCCUAGAGGCGCACUCGAGCGCAAAGGGUUAAAGCUCCCAUUAUUAUAUGAAUUAUGAAAUACUAUAUAAACAUUAAUCAAAAAACUGUUUUAAUACAAAAGAUACAGAUUUAAUAAUGCUAAUGUUGUCAAAAGAAAAAGAUAUUAUUUAAUUUAAUUUUAUGUCCAAUCGCUAGCGAAUGGUAAAGUGUUAACAAUAGUGUCGAAAUAAUGUUAAUAAUACAUUCAAUUUUUUCUCCUUGAUACUUGAGACAAUAACAAAUUGUAAUGGUAGUAUAAUGGAUUUGUUUUAUUUAUCAGACAUGUCAUCAUCAAUCGACCAUUGUUUUGUCUCUGGUUGCUCAUUACUUGCCAAUAUUAUAGUACAUCUUUAAUACAUUUUAGAUAAUUUAGGGAAUUCAUGAGAUCUAAUACUUACAUCAGGAUAUAGUAUAUCGAUUUCAAGAAAGCAGUUCUGUUAACGAUUUAAAUAUUUUGGAGAAAUUGAUUUUGAUUAAUUUAGUGGUAAUAUUCCCUCGUGACUUUCUGGCUAUCUUAGAAGCAAAUCACUAACUGUUAAGGAUUAGAACAUAUGUUCUAAUGCUAGUAAUUUAUUCUAAUUAAAUGCCACGUGUGGGAUUCGAUUCUCACGACUGGACAUAGAGUAAACCCAUAACUAAUUCGACAUUACUAUUUCCAAAUAAUUCACUAUUUCGGUUAAUGCUCGUAUCAAUGACGAUUGAAAGUAUGUUACAAAUUAUUAUUUCACACCUGUAAAAAAAUUAACGCACUACAUACUGUACCCUUUUAAACCAUGGAACUACUGUAUACAACUUUUUUUCGUGCAACGCAUAUUUUGGAAGUUAUAAAGGUGCACACAUUGCGUGGACCACCCUGUAUAUUAUCUCCACUUAUUUGUAACAAUGAUGAAAUGAGCACCGUAUAUAAACUAUCGAAACAAAGUCCAGUCGAUUCCUACCUAAGAUCAUGUUUCGGCACGUUUAAAUUUACCAUCAUCGAUGGCAAUCUGCACGGAAAAAGCAAAAUCAUACCAGUGACUAUCGGGCAAAUGGAGACCCUCCAUUCUCCAGAAACUCUUCUUCGGAUUUGAUGUUAGAUUACGAAAAAAUACAAAAUUACACGUUAUUUCUGUCCAUACUUAUCACGUGGAAUGGCUUGCGUCGACUCUUAUCCGAACUCUGGAGAGCCUGCAUACGCCGCGAAAUCUCUGAUCGGUGACACGGACACUGUCAACAUUCCCACCAAAAAGGAUAGCAUUCAGUGCACGUUCUUUCGACAGCCCAAGAGUAUAUUCGCGAUAAAAAAUGCCGCCUGGCAGCUUUCCUACAGCAAUCCAAUGUCGUCCAGCUUUUCCGACAUUGGUACCGAUUCGGACAGUGAGCUCGAUGAAACUGUGCCCUCUGCGCGAUGGUUAGAAAAAUCGAGACAUUUCAGCGAAGACGUUGUCAGCGAUGAUACUCCAAAGCUUGAAACGGAGUAUCACAAGUAUCUAAACACGCCAAGGAUAACAUUCGAUCCAAUGGUACGCGUCGAUUCGGACAUAGUGAUUAGAUCCUAUCCGAGGAAACGAUCAAUGAAAGAGGAAAACGAAGCAGUGUCCGUGAAACUUCCGCGAGUAUCGAAAAAGUGGAACGAACCGUGGGAGAAAGACAAUUCGGCCAGCAAGGAGAACCACGAGGAAUUCGAUGAAAAUCGAGUUCCCAAUCACUGCGACAAUCAAACGACCUUCCAAAAUGAAACGUUCCUGGAAAAUUAUACGAAUAAUGACAAGCUUAUGCGUGCUCUUUCAGGUAAAACUUUGCGAACCAACGACUCAGGAAAUACAGAUCUUUUUUACUUCUAUUUUGAUAUUUGGAUAUGCAAUGAAUUACAUUUUUAGCACGCGUAGGGAUUAACGGGGAUACGAAGGACAACAGAAAUUACAAAAGACUUUUCUAUGAUUUUUAUUUAAAAAAUGUAGUUUAUCGAAUUACUAGAUAAAAAGAAUAUGGAAAUAUUCGAUCACCAAUAAAACGAUAUUGCACGGUAAAAUAAUGUAACAAAAAGGUGUAAUGUUGAAGAUUAUUUAAAGAUGGGAAUAAAAUCAAUGGCAAAGAGAUUUAAAAAAAUGAUAAAACAAAGAGGUUACUUAAACAUUGACAUUACCAAAAUUAUUAACUUUUAUUACGUGUGAGAAUAAUUUCGUAACCUAAAUAAUCCAUAAAAUUAAUUCGUUUCGUUUCUUCAUUGUUAUAAAUAAUAUAGUUAUUUUUUUUUAAACAGUUUUGUAAGUUUAUAAACCAAAUAUUAUAUUUCUUGAAUAAAAAGUAUAGAAAAAUCUUUUACUAUUAUUUUUAUCUUUCAUACACCUGUUACUCUCUGUGUGUACUCUUCAGAGGAUAACAAUUAAUACUGCGUCUGUAAAUAUUUGUUAAAUGUAAUACUAGUAUUACAAGUCAUAAGGCCAAAAGUAAUGAUAUAAAGUUGCGCAUAAAAGGAGGUAUAAAUUGUUUAGAAUACAGAGUCGAUGCUAGGAUUUAAUGUAAAAAAAGAAAACAAUAUAGACUGUUACAAAAUUAGUUAUUAAUAUAAAUUUAUAUCCCAAAUAAUAUUUAUUUCAAAGGUAUAACAGACAGCAGAUGUUUAAGAUAUUUACCGUACCUAAUAUUAAAAAUUAAAAAAACGUAAAAGGUUUGUAUUAUUUAUAAUUUUUUUGAACUUCAAAA